rnacentral:rRNA from 1 species
GAUGAACGCUAGCGACAGGCCUAACACAUGCAAGUCGAGGGGCAGCACAUGAGUAGCAAUACGAUGGUGGCGACCGGCGCACGGGUGAGUAACACGUAUGCAACCUACCUGUAAGAGGGGAAUAACCCGGAGAAAUUCGGACUAACACCGCAUAAUACCUCGAAGCUGCAUGGCUUUGAGGUUAAAUAUUUAUAGCUUACAGAUGGGCAUGCGUAACAUUAGAUAGUUGGUGAGGUAACGGCUCACCAAGUCAACGAUGUUUAGGGGUUCUGAGAGGAAGGUCCCCCACACUGGUACUGAGACACGGACCAGACUCCUACGGGAGGCAGCAGUGAGGAAUAUUGGUCAAUGGGCGAGAGCCUGAACCAGCCAAGUCGCGUGAAGGAAGAAGGUUCUAUGGAUUGUAAACUUCUUUUGUAAGGGAAUAAAAGAGUUACGUGUAACUUAUUGUAUGUACUUUACGAAUAAGGAUCGGCUAACUCCGUG